GCCAAGAAGUGUAAAUAUUAAUGGAGCGUAGAGGUGUAAUACAAACAAUAUAUGGAGCUUAUUAUGUGAUAAUUUCGUUUGCUCAUUUCAUCGAACAGUUAGUGUGCAUUUUUCUAGAAGUUAAUACAUACUAAUCAUAUAGGUUUUGCGUGAGGUGAAAGGUAUAUACAAGAAACUUUCAGUGAGAUUUGGCAAUGAAAGAGGCCUCUGUAAUUCAAAAGACCGUUUUAUGUCCAAGGACACGCUUGAUUGUGAGACGACGGUGAAAAACAGACAUCGGAGUUUUCAACGACUACUUGUAAAGCGAAGGAGGAGAGAACGCUCGAAGCUGGGGAAGAAAAAUCUCCGUCUAGACUCACAGUGGAGGAGAAGUCCCACAUCGGCAAAACAAAAAUGGGCGUUCAAAUAUGGAGACCCGGCCAUAUGAACAAGAAGUUAGCCUAAUGUCCAAAACUCACAUUCAUUAAAUAAGGCCUCAGCAAAGUUAAAAGCUUCUUUAACAAGAA
rnacentral:misc_RNA from 1 species